AUGGCCAAAGUGCUGCGAGGCAACCUCGAGGAGGCGUUGCUGAUGUUGCAAGUCGCCGGCAUCGGAGCUGCAUUGGAGCGCUCUCUCGGUCAUUGGAGCUUCGUUGCGCCUACAAUGAAGCAACGCCGGAGCUGCAAUGAAGCGUGCCGGAGUUGCAGUGAAGCACGCCUGAGCCGCAGUGAAGCACCGGGAAGGGUCGUGGAAACUUCGCCGGGGCUGUAA
rnacentral:rRNA from 1 species